rnacentral:rRNA from 1 species
AUUGAACGCUGGCGGCAUGCCUUACACAUGCAAGUCGAACGGUAACGCGGGGCAACCUGGCGACGAGUGGCGAACGGGUGAGUAAUGUAUCGGAACGUGCCCAGUUGUGGGGGAUAACUGCUCGAAAGAGCAGCUAAUACCGCAUACGACCUGAGGGUGAAAGCGGGGGAUCGCAAGACCUCGCGCAAUUGGAGCGGCCGAUAUCAGAUUAGGUAGUUGGUGGGGUAAAGGCCUACCAAGCCGACGAUCUGUAGCUGGUCUGAGAGGACGUCCAGCCACACUGGGACUGAGACACGGCCCAGACUCCUACGGGAGGCAGCAGUGGGGAAUUUUGGACAAUGGGGGCAACCCUGAUCCAGCCAUGCCGCGUGCGGGAAGAGGGCCUUCGGGUUGUAAACCGCUUUUGUCAGGGAAGAAAAGACUCCUACUAAUACUGGGGGUUCAUGACGGUACCUGAAGAAUAAGCACCGGCUAACUACGUGCCAGCCGCCGCCGUAAUAC